GCUCCGAUAGCUCAGUGGGGACAGUGGCACAACAAGUGGGCGACAACCAUGAGGUCACCGGAUCGAAACCGGCUUGGAGCA